GGAAAUUCUGACAUCAUGUGUUCAUGUAUAAAAAAAGAAAUCAAGAAUCAACUCUUAUUGAAAAGGCAUCUCCCUUUGACCAAUAUGUCCCCAAAUCCUGGCCUCCCUUCAACCUCCUCAGCCCCUGGCUCAGAAGUGGAAGAGAUGUGCCUUGACUCAGAUGAGACUUUGGACUUGGACUUUUGAGUUAAUUCUGGAAUGAGUUAAAACUUUAGGGGACUGUUGGGAAGGCAUUAUUGUGUUUUAAAUGUGAAAAGAACAUGAGGUAUGGGAGGGGUCAGGGGUGGAAUGAUAUGGUUUGGCUCUGUGUCCCCACCCAAAUCUCAUGUCAAAUUUUAAUCCCCAGUGUUGGUGGAGGAGCCUAGUGAGAGGUGACUGAAUCACAGGGGCAGACUUCCUCCUUGUUUCUCUUGUGAUAGUGAGUGAGUUCUCAUGAACUCUGGUUGUUGUAAAGUGUGUGGCACCUUUCCCUUCACUCUCUCUCUUCCUCCUGCUCUUGCCGUGAGAAUAAGUGCAUGCUUCCCCUCCUGCCAUGGGAAUAAGUGCAUGCUUCCCCUCCUGCCAUGAGAACAAGUGCAUGCUUCUCCUUUUGCCUUCUACCAUGUUUGAAAGUUUCCUGAAGCCUCUCCAGCCAUGCUCCCUGUGCAGCCUGCAGAACUAUGAGCCAAUUAAACAUGUUUUUGUAUAUAAAUUACCCAAUCUUAAGUAGUUCUUUAUAGCAACACAAGAAUAAACUCAUACAACCCCCAUUAUCAUUCAGCUAAAUAUGGUUGGGUUUUUGGAGCCUCAAGCAUGAAGGUGAACUGGCUAUGGCUAUACCAGCCUGAAAGGAUUGAACUCUCCCCUGGAAUCCCAGAACAAAUUCCUUCAACUGAAAAUGUCUCUCCUGUCUCGAGGAGCAAGUCCCCACAAAUUUAUUUUCUCACUUUCAUCCAAACUCUGAUAAUUCUGGAAAGAAGACCAAAGAUUUGUCAAUAACAGGCACUCUUAGGGCAGUGUCUGUUCCCUGAGCUGAUCAUAGGAGCAUGUUGGGAAAUUUCAUCAAAUGUAAAAUCAAAGCCUUGUAUUAGACUUAGCAAAAGUUAGCCGUUGGCAAAUUGUGAAAUUGGUUAAGUAUGCCUGUGGCACCUUCCCACUUUCAUAAUUAAUUUUUAUGCCCUCCCACUUGGCUCUUAUAACCCUACAAGUACAAAUAAUUGGUCAUUUGUGUGACUUUCUGUUUAUUGCAUGUCUCUAUUUAACUUGCUAUAAUUUGCAUAUGUGUGGAGACUACACUUGUCUUUUUGGCUACUAUAUCCUUCUGUCCCCUAAUAUUGUACCUGAUUAUGGAAUACGCCAAUUUAUUAAAUGAAUAAAGUUUUUUUAAAUAUCUUGACCCCUUUUUGGAACAUUAUAUAGCACAAAAAUAAUUGUUCAGUGACUGUACCUUAACUGAAUGGAUUGUAUGAGUAAUGGAAGUGGUUAAGAUAUGAAUCACUCUGGGAUUGCAUUUCCACAAAACUUUUCCAAGACCUAUCAUAAGAGGGAGGGAAGAGUGAGACCUCCCAAUACACUGUAUAUUUACAAGAACUGCAAAACUUUCAAUGGUAUGUUUCUUUACUUGUAGCAGGCUUUAGGUUUCAACCUGUUCUCUCUAAUGCCUGCCACUGUCUACCUCAUCUCUGUGACUUCUGUCUCCAUGUAGUUGGCUGUGAAAUAGGAUGCAGUUUCUUCUUCUUCCCUUGCUAUUUUUGUUUAAUGGACACAAGUCCCUAUUUAAUCACCUGGAAAAGCUACCAGAAGGGGAAGAAAGCAAGCCACAUUGAGAGUAUACACUACUCUUACUAAUAUAAUCUUAGGCCAUUUGUACUGUUUUUGUUUCUGGGCCAUAUUGUAAACUCUUUGGUAUGGAACAAUAAUAAUCAAAAUUGCUUACAUGUAUUGAGUACAUGUUAUUUAUUAUACUCAUUUGACACUUUAAACUGUUUUGUCAUUUAGUCUCAAAAUGGUUUGGAUUUACAAAUGAGUACACUGAGGCUCAAAAAGGAGUA
rnacentral:lncRNA from 10 species